AUUGAACGCUGGCGGCAUGCCUUACACAUGCAAGUCGAACGGUAACAGGCCUUCGGAUGCUGACGAGUGGCGAACGGGUGAGUAAUACAUCGGAACGUGCCUAGUAGUGGGGGAUAACUACUCGAAAGAGUGGCUAAUACCGCAUGAGAUCUACGGAUGAAAGCAGGGGAUCGCAAGACCUUGCGCUACUAGAGCGGCCGAUGGCAGAUUAGGUAGUUGGUGGGAUAAAAGCUUACCAAGCCGACGAUCUGUAGCUGGUCUGAGAGGACGAUCAGCCUCACUGGGACUGAGAAACGGCCCAGACUCCUACGGGAGGCAGCAGUGGGGAAUUUUGGACAAUGGGCGCAAGCCUGAUCCAGCAAUGCCGCGUGCAGGAUGAAGGCCUUCGGGUUGUAAACUGCUUUUGUACGGAACGAAAAGCCCCGGGUUAAUACCCUGGGGUCAUGACGGUACCGUAAGAAUAAGCACCGGCUAACUACGUGCCAGCCGCCGCAGUAA
rnacentral:rRNA from 1 species